GCCCGCCUAGCUCAAUCGGAUAGAGCGUCAGACUCUUAUGGUCUUGGACGCUGAUCCUAAGAUUAUUGGCAAUCUGAAGGCUGCGAGUUCGACCCUCGCGGUGGGCU